UGAAGAAACAUAAGUGGAAGAGUAGCUAUUAAAACAUGUGAUGGAAGAAGUACACAUUGCUGAAAACUUAAGAAGAAACCACAGACGUGUAUAACAAUAAAAUAAAUGUACCUUCUUGGCCAUUUCUCUUCUCUGUUAUUUUGUCAGAUGUUUCUGAUUUGAAUAAGAGCUUUCCUUCAUGUUCCUGAGCUUCUCCUUCCAUUUGACUUUACAUUGAAGUCAUAAACCUGUUGUCAUGGGAACAACUGUGACAUCACAGAUGGAGCGUUAACUUCACCACAGGGCAAAAUAAAUGAAUGUGAUGGCCUGCGAGGAGAGAGAACCUCUGUUUGAGCCAAAAGCCAAGCUUAUCCGAGUCUUGGCCCAGAGCCCGGUACCCCCAGAGUCCUCAGUGGGAUCCCAGCUCUGCUCUCUAGGAAAGUUUGUUUUAGGAAUCUUCACAAUCACAUAUGGGGUGAAGUCUUCCAUGGCAGCGUUCCCAUGUUGUUCCAUGGGCCCAAGAUUCCAUCUGUGGCUUUUAAGGAGCAACAACCCAACACCUUGAGUUGCAUUCAAAUAUAAAGAAGGAGCAGAUCUGUUACAGAGCAUAAAUACAGCAGCUGUUAUGGCCAAGCUGGCCAACUAAA